rnacentral:rRNA from 1 species
AAGUCGAACGAACCUUUUAGGUGAGUGGCGCACGGGUGCGUAACGCGUGGGAAUAUGCCCUUGGGUGAGGAAUAACGUAGAGAAAUUUGCGCUAAUACCUCAUAAUGACUCCGGUCCAAAGAUUUAUCGCCCAAGGAUUAGCCCGCGUUAGAUUAGAUAGUUGGUGAGGUAAUGGCUCACCAAGUCGACGAUCUAUAGGGGGUCUGAGAGGAUGAUCCUCCACACUGGGACUGAGACACGGCCCAGACUCC